GAUGAACGUUGGCGGUGUGCCUAAUACAUGCAAGUCGAACGGAGUUAAUAGCAAUAUUGACUUAGUGGCGAACGGGUGAGUAACGCGUUGGUGAUCUGCCUUGAAGUGUGGAAUAACGCUCCGAAAGGAGCGCUAAUACCGCAUGUGCUCUCAAUUUUUAGAAAGUUGAGAGGAAAGGAUUUAUUCGCUUCGAGAGGAGCCUGCGUCCCAUCAGCUGGUUGGUAGGUAAAGGCCUACCAAGGCAAUGACGGGUAGGGACCUGAGAGGGUGGCCCCCCACAAUGGAACUGAAACACGGUCCAUACACCUACGGGUGCAGCAGUUGGGAAUCUUCGGCAAUGGGCGCAAGCCUGACCGAGCAACGCCGCGUGAGUGAUGAAGGUUUUCGGAUUGUAAAGCUCUGUCUUCCGGGACGAUAAUGACGGUACCGGAGGAGGAAGCCACGGCUAACUACGUG
rnacentral:rRNA from 1 species